UACGUAGGGUGCAAGCGUUGUCCGGAAUCAUUGGGCGUAAAGCGCGCGUAGGCGGCCCGGUAAGUCCGCUGUAAAAGUCCAGGGCUCAACCCUGGAAAGCCGGUGGAUACUGUCGGGCUCGAGUCCGGAAGAGGAGACUGGAAUUCCCGGUGUAGCGGUGGAAUGCGCAGAUAUCAGGAAGAACACCUAUGGCGAAGGCAGCUCUCUGGGACGGUACUGACGCUGAGACGCGAAAGCGUGGGGAGCAAACAGG
rnacentral:rRNA from 1 species